UACGUAGGGUGCAAGCGUUGUCCGGAAUUAUUGGGCGUAAAGAGCUUGUAGGCGGUUUGUCGCGUCUGCUGUGAAAUUUCGGGGCUCAACCCCGAACUUGCAGUGGGUACGGGCAGACUAGAGUGUGGUAGGGGAGACUGGAAUUCUCGGUGUAGCGGUGAAAUGCGUAGAUAUCGAGAGGAACACCUGCGGCGAAGGCGGGUUGCUGGGCCGACACUGACGCUGAUGCGCGAAAGCCAGGGGAGCGAACGGG
rnacentral:rRNA from 1 species